CACCAACUAAUAUUAUGUUAGGUUUGUGUUUAAUAAACUAAAUGGACUUCCAACCAUGUUGGAAUUUAUUUUUAGAUAUCAAUUUUUUUGAUAAAUGCGUGUGAGUUCCUUGCACUUACCGACUAUAUUGGCUACUAGACAAUUUUCACAAUUUGAAAUUCAAAUAUUUUUUGAUAUUUUUGAUUAACAAUAUAUAAGUAUGAAAAUGCACUAUGCUUUAUUUUAGAAUAUCUCUAGAAGACUAGAACAUUGAUUUUCUAUCUUCAACAAUAAUUAAAUAAAAUAAAUAAAUUUAAAUAAUUUAUAGAAUAAAUUGCAUAGCAUUCUUUAAUUAUGUACAUGUAUUUUAAAACCUUUAAUCUUUUCAAAACGUUAUACCCUACUCUGUUCUCUAAUGACAGUCAGUAUCCAGAAUUAUUACUAUGUCUAGCACGAUCAAUAAAAUCCAUUAUAAUUUAUAAUUUCUAUGCAUCAGACAAAAGUGAUAAAAUGUCUUAAAAUAUUUGAUUUCAAAUACUUGUGUUGCAAAAUUUAAGAUAUUUGUGUAUAUAUUAUGGACUGCUGAAAUUCAAUUUGACAUCUAAUGUUUAAAUUCGAAAUAUUUCAAUUUCAUAUAUAGAAGGAUUUUCGAAUUCGUGUAUGUGCGAAUGGAUAAAACCAGAGGAACUUGUAUGAUAUGACCUUGGCCUUUUAUGUAUUGACCAGGUGACCAAACACUCUUAUUUAGUUAUUUAUAUACUAUAGAUUUAUAGAGGAAAGUAAUGUACAUCAAGACAUAGUGAUAUAUAUGCCGUGUCCACUUUAGAAUCAUUUCAUUUUCUUUUUCUCUUUUUUUUUUAUGUUUUAAAAAGGAAUCAUUUCAUUUUCAUUUUAACAUUAAUGUUUUUAGUAAAAAAUAAAUCCAAGACGCAUCUCAAUCCAAAUCUUUCUUUAUAGAUUCAGACUGUACACCGAAGGUGGAAAAUAAAAUUUGAACAGGUUGUGAUUUUAUUAAUAAUAAGACCAAAUUAAUUUUGUAAGGUUUUCGCUUCCAAGUUGAUACCUUAAUUUUCUUUAGCAAAUUAACAAAGAUACUAAUUUUUACCAAAUAAUUUUUAAUCAGAUAAACAGAUAACUAAUUUGUUUCAUUGAUGAUAAUAUAAGAACGCGUCAACACUCUGAUAUUCUAGUGAAUGAAUUUAUUAUUUGUAAGUCCUACAUUUGAUUUUGUUGCGUAGUACUAUGUAACAAAAAUAUGCUUCUAAGUUAGAGAUGUCAAAGGAACCUGUGGCCCGCGGGAUAGGCCCGUUUAGACCUGUGGCGGGGCGGGCUUGAGCCCGUGAUUUCACGUCCCGCAAAGAAGCGGGCCUCGCGGGAGAGGCUUGUCGCGGAACCGGACCCAAAGCGGGCAAGCCCACAGUGACCCGCGGGUUUCUUCAUGUCCCGCAACCCUAAUCUCUAUUCUUGUCAUUUGCUCUUCACCUGAAAAAAAAAUGCGAGAGAGAUAGAGUGAAAGGCGAUGUGGUUGCGACUUCCACCGUGGAAAGAAACAGAGCUCCACCGAUGACGACGGCGGUUCGCUCUCCCGACACUGCUUCUGCUCACUACUUUGUCUUCGAACUGCAGUCUGCAGCAGAGGAGCUAAAACGACAAGGGUCCGACAAAGUAGAUUCUUAUUCUCCGAUGUGUCUUCCGUUCUUCCCUAUGAGCUUCCAAACUCCACAGAUAGGACAUGCAUGUACAGAGUUAUGUAUUUCAGACAAAAAAUUGAAGUUCUUUUGGACUUAUAAUCUCUGCUUUAACUCUUGUUUUUUUUUUCAGGUUGUUAGAUAAGAAGACUAACAAGAUCCAAAAGGUAGUGAUCUAGCAUAGCGAUCUAGUCUUGUUGAUGAUACUGAUGUUUUGUGUUCUGUGUUGAGGUGAUGAAGUGAUGGUGAGAAAGUAGGCGACUUGGUCAUCUUCUUCUCCUCUUAGACAGCUUCAGGACAUCAGGGAAGCUUGACAUAAGUACACGUGAUGCAAAGGUGAAGAACUUGCGUGACAAGCUCAGUAUUCUGUUUGAGACAUACGACAAAAACUCCAAGAAUAACUCACCUUCCACUGAGCCACGUGACACUGUUCCGCAAAAAGCUUGUGCGGCAGGAUCAAUGGGACUGUUUGGGAACUACAAUGAUUUCUUUGCAUUUCGCAAAGUCAGUGGAAUUGUUAGUGGAAAGACACCUCUAGAAGCUUAUCUUGAAGAACCACCUUUGGACAUUACUAAUUUCCAGAGCUUGGACAUCCUCGAUUAGUGGAAAGAUAAUGCGCAUCGGUAUGGUGACUUGGCUGCAAUGGCAUGUGAUCUGCUAAGUAUUCCAAUCACAACAGUGGCUUCGGAGUCCUCCUUCAGUAUUGGAUCGCGAGUUCUAAACAAAUAUAGGAGUCGUCUACUCCCAGAAAAUGUGCAAGCUCUGAUAUGCACUAGGAAUUGGAUCAAAGGAUAUGAAUCUUACGCACAUGAUGAAGAAAUCGAUGGUGAUGGAGAAGAAGAGAAAUUACCAACAUUUGAGUCCAUUGUUGAUGGGGAAGAUGAAGAUGAGUAGAUGAGCAAGUUUGAAAUGUUAUCUUGAUUUGGUGUUUUGCUUCAAUUACAAUUUCUGAUUUCUUGUUUAAGUUGCAUGAUUUUUGGUUUUGAAUACUAUGAUUUGGACCAUUUGGUGUUUCUCUAAAUUUUACUUUAGUUGAGACUUAAUUUUUUA